rnacentral:lncRNA from 1 species
ACUUCAGCUGCGUUCCUUCUCGCGUUGGCAGUGCUCACUGCGGAGCGCGCCCAGAGGAGAGAGCCAGCGGGCGAAGAGACGAAAAAGACGCGCGAAUGAAAGAUAAAUACAGUGUCAAAGAGGCUGUGAGAGGAACAGAAGGAACGAGAAAGGAGGUGGUAAUCCUCCGGUUCGGGAUGCCACGGAGAUGUGCUCCGUGCAGAGCCCGAAGGGUUGAAACGAAAACAUCAAGGACGCUUCAAGUUGGGAGAGGAUGUCUCGGAAGGGGUUGCAAGGUUCGGCUAGAAUCACGGGUAGCAGAAGAAGGUGCACUGCGGUGAAGUGCCAGAUAGGCUGAAUGUGGAAAGAGUAAGAAAGCACUCGAGCCAAAGACAAAAGCAAGAACACUACCACAGAAAAGGGGGGAGGGGGAAUAGGACUCGGGGCGACGAGGGUUGGAGAGGGCGAAUGUGCACGAAGAGCUCACAGAGUGAGAGAUAGUGAGGUGGGAGAGGGUAGACGAACCACCGCCGCAGCCAGGCCGGGACCACCGCCGGUAGCCCCCUCUCACGAAGCGUUGUUUUUAGUCCUAGCUUGGCUCAGUCUCUGUCUUGGCUGUGUGCUUGGCGACUGAAGAAACCCUUUCGGAUCCUCACUUGGCUGGUGCUUCUGGGCGGCAAGACCGUGGUCGACCGACCCGGACCUUGUCCCUUCUUUUUGAUUCUUCUUUUUUUGCCCGUGCCGCUCGGUUCCCGACGCGUCCAUCUCUCCGGGAAGAAGUCACGGCGACGGUACAAGAAUUGCCGCGGCCUUGAGCAUUGACUGCAGAGGA